rnacentral:rRNA from 1 species
AGUGAACGCUGGCGGUAGGCCUAACACAUGCAAGUCGAACGGCAGCACAGUAAGAGCUUGCUCUUACGGGUGGCGAGUGGCGGACGGGUGAGGAAUACAUCGGAAUCUACUUUUUCGUGGGGGAUAACGUAGGGAAACUUACGCUAAUACCGCAUACGACCUACGGGUGAAAGCAGGGGAUCUUCGGACCUUGCGCGAUUGAAUGAGCCGAUAUCGGAUUAGCUGGUUGGCGGGGUAAAGGCCCACCAAGGCGACGAUCCGUAGCUGGUCUGAGAGGAUGAUCAGCCACACUGGAACUGAGACACGGUCCAGACUCCUACGGGAGGCAGCAGUGGGGAAUAUUGGACAAUGGGCGCAAGCCUGAUCCAGCCAUACCGCGUGGGUGAAGAAGGCCUUCGGGUUGUAAAGCCCUUUUGUUGGGAAAGAAAAGCAGCAGGUUAAUACCCCGCUGUUCUGACGGUACCCAAAGAAUAAGCACCGGCUAACUUCGUG